AACUUUUAGCAACGGAUCUCUUGGUUCUGGCAUCGAUGAAGAACGCAGCGAAAUGCGAUAAGUAAUGUGAAUUGCAGAAUUCAGUGCAUCAUCGAAUCUGUGAACGCAUAUUGCGCCCUUUGGCAUUCCGAAGGGCAUACCUGUUCGAGCGUCAUUACACCCCUCAAAGAUAACUCUUUGGCGGUGGGCAAUGCCUAAAGGCAUGCCUCAAAAUCAGCGAUGGUGAUAUUCAACCACAGGCGCACAAACGUCGUCUAGCUGGCGGGAUGUUAUCAGUCAAUUGAUGAAUUUCUAAAUGUUGACCUCGGAUCAGGUAGGAAUACCCGCUGAACUUAAGCAUAUCAAUAGCGGAGGC
rnacentral:misc_RNA from 1 species